rnacentral:lncRNA from 1 species
UUAUUUAAGUGCUAGAUUUUCACCUCGCUUCGUUUGUAAGGGGCUUAAAUCACGCUGUGUUUUAUCGGAAUGAUUACAGGCGAGUGCUUCUUUAACAGCUUUAUUCUUUUCACCCGAGGACAUCUUCGACAUUGUUUGCGUCUUUGGA